rnacentral:rRNA from 2 species
UACGGAGGAUCCAAGCGUUAUCCGGAUUUAUUGGGUUUAAAGGGUGCGUAGGCGGUUUUAUAAGUUAGAGGUGAAAAUUCGGGGCUCAACUCCGGACGUGCCUCUAAUACUGUAUGACUAGAGAUUAGAUGCGGUAGGCGGAAUGUAUGGUGUAGCGGUGAAAUGCGUAGAGAUCAUACAGAACACCGAUUGCGAAGGCAGCUUACCAAACUAUAUCUGACGUUGAGGCACGAAAGCGUGGGGAGCAAACAGG